rnacentral:rRNA from 1 species
UUAUGACUUACACUUUAAACCUGAAUAAAAGUAGUUAUGUUCUUCAAAACUCAAAGAUUUUGGCGGUUAAAUUUAAUUUUUCAGAGGAACCUGUGUUAUAAUUGAUAAACCACGAUAGUUUUUACCUAAAGUUUAUUUGUAUAUCUCUAUGAUUAUUGGAAUGUUUUUUUAGAAUAUUUUCUUUUUGUGUAAUCUUUAAUUUUAGGUCAAGGUGCAGUUUUAUUUAGGUAAACAUGGGUUACUUUAGUUAUUAUUUUUUUUUAUAUAAGAUUAAUUAAUUAGGAUUUGAAAGUAAUUUAAAUUAAUUAGUUUGGUUGAAUUUUUUUAAUUAAUGU